ACCAUACUGAGAGGAGGAGAGAAAGCAGGGAGAACUGGCAGACACUGGAGAACCUGACAGUACCCUGUGGUUUUCUGACCCAAAGCCAGAGAAGAAACUGCUGAUAUUCUGUGGGUAAUGUUUGUACAGACAAGCUUGUCCAUCUGCAUUCAGGGUCAAGAAAUUGUGUUGCCAAGAGCUGGAGAUGGAAAAAUCUAGUCUGUCCUACCUGAGAGUGGGCCAUCAAACAACAAUGUCCCAAGAAUAGCUGAUGGCUACAGGUGUGGUGUGGUGCAGAUUUUUGCACAAGAAUAUGUUGCAUGCAAAUCAAUGCUAGGAAAGAGACAAACUAUCUUGUACCAUCAUGGGGAAGGAGACCUAAUCUAAAAAGCCAGACUGUGUGGUUUAGAUGUGGAAGGAAGACAUUGGUCAAGACUUUGCAAGUGAUCCAGUGACUCCUGGCUGUGUGAAUUUUGGAUCCCUCUGCUCCCUCAGGGAAGAGGCAGCUCCUCUCUCAUCUGUAAAGGGAGGCAACAUCUUCACAGGACAUCCCUUAGGCCUCCCACAGCUGGCAGGCUUCAGCACGGAUGCAGUUUGACUGAAAGCCUGGUUACAGAGAGGCUGUAGUAAUGUCAAAAUUUGCUAAGGCUUCUAAAAAGAGUGCAGGACACUGACUGUUUCUUUGCACCUUUUCUUUUUUGAAACAUUCAGUGAUUAUUAAUGAAAAGAGCAAGUGGAAUAAUCCAUAGAAGGUGAUCUGACCAUGCCUUGCUGUCCAUCUGUACUCAGCUGAGGAAUCACAAUUCAGAACAAGCAGGACCUUCUGAGAUGACCUCUGUAUUUCUGAUAUAAAAUCUUUACUGUAUCAAUGGGUAGAGACUGAGGAAUCCUGCAAUUUCUUCAGAGAGCAGAGUCAUUGGAUGUCUCCGUUUAGCUGUAUUGAUUGUCCUUGAACAACCAAUGUCGCCAUUGUGUCUUGGCCUGCCCCGUUCCAACUCCACUCCAACCACACCUCCAGUAUCUCUUUGUCUCAGACUUAACCUUAAUUCUAACCCUAAUCAUAACUCUAACCGUACCUUCUGGCUCAGGCUAUGACUACGACUCUACAUAACAAACAUCCUUUCAGCACCGCUGUGACAAGGACAUUCAACUUAUUGUCUGAUUAUUAAGCCUCAGAGAAAACAGAGGCAAAAUAAGCUCAUGACCAGCAAAAUACAAGGAACACUGAUGCAGAGGGAUCAUUUUGUUUUCUGAUACCUAUGUUCAGUUCCUCCAAGAGGCUGAGGUUUUGAGACUCCUGAGAGAAACUCCUGGAGGACAGACACAGUCCAAAAGAAAUGCUGGAAAACAACAAUAAUUCCUACCUUCAAAGGAAUAAAAAGAAGAAUACAGGGAGUUUUUGGCUGACUAGCUUAACUUCAGCUGCCUGGCAAACACGUGCAUGAAAUAACUAUUUUUAAGUAUAUGGUAGUCAAUAAGUGUGGUAUUUUAGCCCUGAUUGGGUGCCAGGUGCCCACCAAGUUGUAAUAUCACUCCUCUUCCUAAACUGGAGAGGGGAAGAGAGAAAUAUAACAAGAGGUUUGUGAGUUGAAAUAAGAACGGGGAGAUGGCUCAUCAAUUAACAUCAUGGGCAAAACAGACUCAACAGGGGGAGAAAAGAGUUUGAUUUAUUAAUAAACCAUAAGAACAGAGAGAUGAGAAAUAAAAUUGAAUCUUAAAACACCUCUCCCCACCCCUCCCUCUUACCAUGACUCUCCUUCCUUCCCCCCCAGCAGCACAGGUGAUGAGGGAUGAGGGUUACAGUCAGUUCAUUACAGGUGGACUUUGUCGCUGCUUCUUCUCAGGGAGAGGCCUCCUCACACUUCCCAC